rnacentral:rRNA from 1 species
AUUGAACGCUGGCGGCAGGCCUAACACAUGCAAGUCGAGCGGAUGAAGAGAGCUUGCUCUCUGAUUCAGCGGCGGACGGGUGAGUAAUGCCUAGGAAUCUGCCUGGUAGUGGGGGACAACGUUUCGAAAGGAACGCUAAUACCGCAUACGGCCUACGGGAGAAAGCAGGGGACCUUCGGGCCUUGCGCUAUCAGAUGAGCCUAGGUCGGAUUAGCUAGUUGGUGAGGUAAUGGCUCACCAAGGCGACGAUCCGUAACUGGUCUGAGAGGAUGUUCAGUCACACUGGAACUGAGACACGGUCCAGACUCCGACGGGAGGCAGCAGUGGGGAAUAUUGGACAAUGGGCGAAAGCCUGAUCCAGCCAUGCCGCGUGUGUGAAGAAGGUCUUCGGAUUGUAAAGCACUUUAAGUUGGGAGGAAGGGCAGUAAGUUAAUACCUUGCUGUUUUGACGUUACCGACAGAAUAAGCACCGGCUAACUCUGUGCCAGCCGCCGCGGUAACAC